rnacentral:rRNA from 1 species
UACGUAGGGGGCAAGCGUUAUCCGGAAUUAUUGGGCGUAAAGAGCUCGUAGGCGGUCUGUCGCGUCUGCUGUGAAAACUCGGGGCUUAACCCCGGGCCUGCAGUGGGUACGGGCAGACUAGAGUGCGGUAGGGGAGACUGGAAUUCCUGGUGUAGCGGUGAAAUGCGCAGAUAUCAGGAGGAACACCGGUGGCGAAGGCGGGUCUCUGGGCCGUAACUGACGCUGAGGAGCGAAAGCAUGGGGAGCGAACAGG